CCUACGGGAGGCAGCAGUAGGGAAUCUUCCACAAUGGACGCAAGCCUGAUGGAGCAACACAGCGUGAGGGAAGACGGGUUUCGGCUCGUAAAGCUCUGUUUUUGUAGAAGAACGUGCGUGAGAGUAACUGUUUACGCAGUUCCGGUAUCCAACCAGAAAGUCACGGCUAACUACGUGCCAGCAGCCGCGGUACGACGUAGGUGGCAAGCGUUAUCCGGAUUUAUUGGGCGUAAAGCGAGCGCAGGAGGUUGCUUAGGUCUGAUGUGAAAGCCUUCGGCUUAACCGAAGAAGUGCAUUGGAAACCGGGCGACUUGAGUGCAGAAGAGGACAGUGGAACUCCAGGUGUAGCGGUGGAAUGCGUAGAUAUAAGGAAGAACACCGAUGGCGAAGGCAGCUGUCUGGUCUGCAACUGACGCUGAGGCUCGAAAGUAUGGGUAGCAAACAGGAUUAGAUACCCCGGUAGUC
rnacentral:rRNA from 1 species